CUACCACCUCCUUGCACAAAAAGCCCACGGAAGGCAGACCUAGAGGAAACUUUUGCUCUUGGGCGGGUCUCGCCUUGGAAAGCAUCCCAGGGACGAGACCUCGGCCAUCCCCGUGGGGUCCAAGCAGCGAGGAGGAAGAGACGCCAGGCCGGGAGAAGAGGAAACUUUUGGACUCAGGAGGAAGAGCGGGGAGGACUGGAGACCAAGGGCAGAAGAAGAAGAAGAAGAAGCGGGAGGAGAAGGCAGAGAAGGAGCCCCCUCCGCGCCGCCCACCUGCCCCAAGCCCCUCUGCGCCUGCCCGCCUGCCUGCCUGGCCCGGCCUGCUCCCUUCUCCCCACUGACGGCCCUGGAGGGGAAGCGGGACCCCGCUGCGUGGAUGCAGCUGCUGCCACUGCUGCCCCUGCCGCCCGGUCUCUGGGGCUGCCCAUUCCUCCCCUCCCUUGCCUUACCUACGCGCAGGAGUCCAGCCUGGUGGCGCCGCGCGGGUUGUCAGCAGCCCCGGUGGGUGGGCGAGCAGGCGAGCGGGGGAAGCAGAGAGGGAGAGGAGAGAGGCUGGGCGAAGGCGAGCUGGACCCCAGAAGCAGCAGCAGCAUCCGCUCCUCCUCCUCCUCUUGCUGCUGCUGCUGCUCCUGCCGCCGCUCUCUCUCUCUCACUGACUGGCUGCUGCAAGGGACCGAGGCGAAAUUCUGGCGCCGAGGCCAAGCGCAGACAACGCGUUCGCCAGGUGCGUCGCAGAUCCCAGAAAGGCCCCUAAACGCCGCCCCUGAUACUCCAACGUUGGCAAGGUGCCCUCCUCUUGCUCACCUGGAGGAAAGGAGGCAGGAGAGCCCCAAACCCAGCCCUCCAGAACCCCUUGACUCUUCUAUGGGUCUCUUUCCUAUCUAUAAUAAUACAACUUUGUUUGUAGCCCGCCCUAUCUCUCCGAAGGGACCCAGGGCAGUUCUAUUUAUUAUUUAUUUAUUUACAGUAUUUAUAUUCCGUCCUUCUCACCCCGAAGGGGACUCAGGGCGGAUUACAAUGCACACACAUAUGGCAAACAUUCAAUGCAAACAUUCAACAUAUAUAGACAGACACAGAGGCAUUUAA
rnacentral:lncRNA from 1 species